UACGUAGGGUGCGAGCGUUUGUCCGGAUUUAUUGGGCGUAAAGAGCUCGUAGGCGGUUUGUCGCGUCGGCCGUGAAAUCUCCACGCUUAACGUGGAGCGUGCGGUCGAUACGGGCAGACUUGAGUUCGGUAGGGGAGACUGGAAUUCCUGGUGUAGCGGUGAAAUGCGCAGAUAUCAGGAGGAACACCGGUGGCGAAGGCGGGUCUCUGGGCCGAUACUGA
rnacentral:rRNA from 1 species